UAAAAGACGAAGAAAAGGAGUAGUAAUAAAACGCCUUGCAUAAGAGAGGUAGCGGUUGGUGAAAGCUAUCCAAGGAGUUUUGUGAACUCGCCUUUGAUGUUGCUUGUCUGAACUGAUAGUAAGAUGAGACGUCAUUCCGCGUUAAGGAACAGAGUGAGUGUACGUACACACUAACUUGGGUGGUACCGCGGGUAGAAUAGAACCUCUCGUCCCAAUU
rnacentral:ncRNA from 1 species